rnacentral:piRNA from 1 species
CUACUUUGGAAUAAAGAGAAUGAUGAUAGG